GACGAACCGUCCAAACGUUAUUCGGAAUUACUGGGCUUAAAGGGUGCGUAGGCGGCGCGGAAAGUUGGAUGUGAAAUCCCUCGGCUCAACCGAGGAACUGCGUUCAAUACUGCCGUGCUUGAGGGAGAUAGAGGUGAGCGGAACUUAGGGUGGAGCGGUGAAAUGCGUUGAUAUCCUAAGGAACACCGGUGGCGAAAGCGGCUCACUGGAUCUCUUCUGACGCUGAGGCACGAAAGCUAGGGUAGCAAACGGG
rnacentral:rRNA from 1 species